GACGAACGCUGGCGGCGUGCCUAAUACAUGCAAGUCGAGCGGACAGAUGGGAGCUUGCUCCCUGAAGUUAGCGGCGGACGGGUGAGUAACACGUGGGCAACCUGCCCUGCAGAUGGGGAUAACUCCGGGAAACCGGGGCUAAUACCGAAUAAUCAGUUUCUCCGCAUGGAGAAACUCUGAAAGACGGUUUCGGCUGUCACUGCAGGAUGGGCCCGCGGCGCAUUAGCUAGUUGGUGGGAUAACGGCCUACCAAGGCAACGAUGCGUAGCCGACCUGAGAGGGUGAUCGGCCACACUGGGACUGAGACACGGCCCAGACUCCUACGGGAGGCAGCAGUAGGGAAUCUUCCACAAUGGACGAAAGUCUGAUGGAGCAACGCCGCGUGAGUGAAGAAGGUUUUCGGAUCGUAAAGCUCUGUUGUGAGGGAAGAACACGUACGGGAGUCACUGCCCGUACCUUGACGGUACCUCAUUAGAAAGCCACGGCUAACUACGUGCCAGCCGCCGCAGUAAAAC
rnacentral:rRNA from 1 species